GGGCAGCUAGCUCAGCUGGAUAGAGCGUUGGCCUCCGGAGCCAAAGGUCGUGGGUUCGAAUCCCGCGCUGCCCG
rnacentral:tRNA from 1 species